UUAAAUUGAAGAGUUUGAUCAUGGCUCAGAUUGAACGCUGGCGGCAGGCCUAACACAUGCAAGUCGAACGGUAACAGGAAGCAGCUUGCUGUUUCGCUGACGAGUGGCGGACGGGUGAGUAAUGUCUGG
rnacentral:rRNA from 1 species